UACGAAGGGAGCUAGCGUUGUUCGGAAUCACUGGGCGUAAAGCGUGCGUAGGCGGUUCGUUAAGUCUGUCGUGAAAGCCCUGGGCUCAACCUGGGAAUUGCGAUGGAUACUGGCGAGCUAGAGUACGGUAGAGGAUGGUGGAAUUCCCGGUGUAGCGGUGAAAUGCGUAGAGAUCGGGAGGAACACCCGUGGCGAAGGCGGCCAUCUGGACCAGUACUGACGCUGAGGCACGAAAGCGUGGGGAGCAAACAGG
rnacentral:rRNA from 1 species